rnacentral:rRNA from 1 species
CCAGACUCCUACGGGAGGCAGCAGUGGGGAAUAUUGGACAAUGGGGGAAACCCUGAUCCAGCGACGCCGCGUGAGUGAAGAAGUAUUUCGGUAUGUAAAGCUCUAUCAGCAGGGAAGAAAGAAAUGACGGUACCUGACUAAGAAGCCCCGACUAACUACGUGCCAGCAGCCGCGGUAAUACGUAGGGGGCAAGCGUUAUCCGGAUUUACUGGGUGUAAAGGGAGCGUAGACGGCGAUGCAAGUCUGGAGUGAAAGCCCGGGGCCCAACCCCGGGACUGCUCUGGAAACUGCGUCGCUGGAGUACGGGAGGGGCAGGCGGAAUUCCUGGUGUAGCGGUGAAAUGCGUAGAUAUUAGGAGGAACACCAGUGGCGAAGGCGGCUUACUGGACUGUAACUGACGUUGAGGCUCGAAAGCGUGGGGAGCAAACAGGAUUAGAUACCCUGGUAC